ACCCUUUCCUGAACAGGACCCUCAGUGAAGUCUGGAUUGAUGCAUUCUGGAUGCUGGGAUUUCUGGAUGUCUGGCAGAUCACUAGGAACAAGUCCAUAGCAAUAGCUGAAGCAGGAUUACUGGACACAGAUCUCCUCUCAAAAGUGCUGACACUGCCUUUCCAUUUCUCCUCUCUGGGUGUGGGACAUGCCGAGGUUAAGGACUCUUUCAGUGCUGCAUUUCCCCAAAACAGCCUCUGAGAAACAUGUGGCAGGAGCAUAGAAGCAGUACUGAGCACCCCAUGCAGUGCCAGGGCCAGUCUUUGCUUGCAAUCUGGACCAAACGCAUGGGGCAGAAUGAAGACAAUGUCUGAAAGUCACAAAAAGCAGUGAGUCAACCUCUUGUUUUUCAUAUACCUCUUUUUUUUUUUUUUUACUUCUUUUUUUUUUCCCAGCACAAGAGUCCACAGGUGUGGCAGCACCCAGUACCA
ensembl:lncRNA